rnacentral:rRNA from 1 species
AGUGAACGCUGGCGGCGUGCUUAACACAUGCAAGUCGAACGAGAACGGGAUAUAGCUUGCUAUAUUCGUCAGCUAAGUGGCGCACGGGUGAGUAAUGUAUAGAUAACCUGCCUCUAGCAAGGAAUAACAGUUGGAAACGACUGCUAAUGCCCUAUAUGCCUUCAAUACAUAAGUAUGCACGGGAAACGCUUUAGUGCUUAAGGAUGGGUCUGUAUGGUAUCAGCUUGUUGGUGAGGUAAUGGCUCACCAAGGCUAUGACGCCUAACCGGUUUGAGAGGAUGAUCAGUCACACUGGAACUGAGACACGGUCCAGACUCCUACGGGAGGCAGCAGUGGGGAAUAUUGCACAAUGGACGAAAGUCUGAUGCAGCAACGCCGCGUGGAGGAUGACACAUUUCGGUGCGUAAACUCCUUUUAUAUAGGAAGAUAAUGACGGUACUAUAUGAAUAAGCACCGGCUAACUCCGUGCCAGCCGCCGCCGUAA